UGUCCACAAACUUAGCACGGGAAUUGAACCGUGUCCGCAAACUUAGCACGGGAAUUGAACCAUGUCCGCAAACUUAGCACGGGAAUUGAACCAUGUCCACACGAAAAGCUAUCGCAGAAACUCUUAUGGCCGUGACCGCUCUCAGGCUUCUCUCUGCUGAAGGCGAGAAUCAUUUCUCCUGACUGCGCGCGAAUACGAUGCAUUUUACAUUAUAUACAACAUAUAUAUUACUGAAUAUUCGGCAAUCGAAGAGUGGUACAAAGGUGUUCCUCGCAGUGUCUGAGAAUUGGCGUCGUUGAUUUGCACGACAACGUAAUCACCGGCCUUUAUGUCUCUCGUUGUGCCGGAAUGUCGAUCAAUUGGAAUAUUUGUGGACGUUCGAAAGUUGCGUCAGAACUGUGUACCUCGCGCAUGCUGUAAGCAAACAGGAAAGCGAUGUUGUAUUUGACCUCGUCCAUCAG